rnacentral:lncRNA from 1 species
UGAAGUGAGGGAGGAUAGUAUUUCCAUCAUAGUGUAAGCAUCAGGUACUUCAGUCAUGUGUAUGACAGUUAAAAUGAUAGAAGAGAGUGGAUUUCCAGGGAUUCCAUGCUAAUAAUUUAUAACUCUCUGGUCUCAUAGAUCCAGGAUGCUCAUAAGAAUACAAAGAAUACAAAACUCUGAAUGUUCUGGUUCAGGGUUUCUUGUGGCUGUGGAAGCUGAAAGUUAUCUUGAAAGGAAGAGACACAGUCCUGCAAUUUCAAAAUGGCAUCGGUGACGCUUUAAUAAAAACACUACCUACAGUGAAUGCUUGCAAGCUUGGAUAAGACAUCUGGAGAAGGGCAUAUCCGUAUGAUAAAACCUGAAUUUAAAGAAGAGCCAUGGGCUGCUCCCAUGAUAGUGUUGGUUUUUUUCCUUCAUCUUUACAACUGAGCCUGCUGCCUCUGCACCAUUCAAUGAGGAUCGAUGUGAACAUGCUGGAACUGUUUACAUGAAGUGAGCUGAAUCAUUCAACCUAAUAUUCAUUUGUUUGACUAAAGCCUCUUUAAAGCCACUUGUGAUCUGAUGACUAACGUGGCACAAAGAUGCUAAUGCUCAGUGCAUACAUAAAUCAUUAACUACUUAAUUUGGAUUUGGAAACCUGAGGCAACAGAAUGCUCCAUGGAGAAACAGCUAUAUUUAUCUCUCUCCAUCCUGAACCACCUGUCUCCAGAGACCUGGAAUGCAUUAGAAAAAUUAAUGUAGUGAUUGAACUAAAUCUAGAUCCUCUGUUCCAGAAGAAAGCAUUUUUUGCAACUAGAAAAGCACGGAAAUCUAGGAUCUGUUCUGCUGAGACAACAAAAAUUAAAUUGAGUAGUACUGCCAGAAAAAAGUCUAAGAUGUGUUACUGCCCAGUUCUUAGAGAGGAAAACACAAUGCUCGGAGCCAACCUGGAUUCUGACACGUUGAAAGGGAAGUAG